rnacentral:snRNA from 1 species
GUGCUCCCUUCGGCAGCACAUAGACUAAAAUUGGAACAAUACAGAGAUUAGCAUGGCCCCUGUGCAAGGAUAACACACAAAUUUGUGAAGCGUUCCAUAUUUUA